rnacentral:misc_RNA from 1 species
AAGUCGUAACAAGGUUUCCGUAGGUGAACCUGCGGAAGGAUCAUUACAGAGUUCAUGCCCGAAAGGGUAGACCUCCCACCCUUGUGUAUUUAUACUUUGUUGCUUUGGCAGGCCGCCGCAAGGCUCCCGGCUUCGGCUGGGGCGUGCCCGCCAGAGGACCAUCAAACUCUGAAUGUUAGUGUCGUCUGAGUACUAUAUAAUAGUUAAAA